rnacentral:lncRNA from 1 species
AAUGAAGGCUCACUGUUUUCACUGGAUAUGGCACGUUGUAAGCGGAAGGACUCAGAGAUCAUUGUAUACUAGAUAGAAAGCGCUCACCCCCACCUCCUGAGAAAGCGAAGAAGAAAGAACGCACGUGGACGAAGGAGAAACUGAGAUGCUUCUGGAGUGAAUCUCAAGGCUUGUCACUGCCGUCCAGGUGAGAGGUCCACAGCCUCCCCCGCUGGGCAGUCUGAACUGCCACAGCUGGUGUGACCCUGGCUCUGGUCAAGUCCGCUUUGAAGUCAUAGCUGUGUGUUUAUCUCCUCGGCUGGACUGUACGUAUCCAGCGAGAGGAGGCCAGCUGCCUCCCCUUCACACUGAAGAGCGGGAGCAGAGGACCCGCUUUGCUGACCCUGAGAAGCAGGACAGA